AGCACUUCCUCUGCUUGAGAAGGAUCCGAGUGAGCGUCCCACGAGUUUCUGCGGGACACUGUGGCUGUUGAAGAGGUGGCUGUGGACUUCUCCUAGGAUGAAUGGGCAUUGCUGCAUCCUAGACAUUUGAUGAUGGAAACUUUUUGAAACCUGGCCUCAGUAGAUCAAAGAUUUGCCACAGAGAAAUAGGAUCCAGUCUAGGGAGCUAGAAAUCUGUUACUACUUUCUUGCACAUUGAAGCAUCAUAAGGACGGUUUUCAACUUCUGACUGUGUUGUGAACCAAAUCCGGUCACUUGACUCCAAACAGGGUUGCUAUAAUCAGAAUCCACCCGAUGGCAUGAAUUCUUUCUGAUCAUUCACCAAGAAUGUAGAUCAUCUUCCCCUUGAGGAGAAUGAAUGCCUUAGAAAAUAGUUUGCCUACACUCCUUUCCAGCCAGCCCCCUCCAAGGGCCUGCCUAGAUGUAUCCUCGAUGGAGCUCACCUUACUGACGACAGCACAGGGGCCAUUGUCAUGAGUCUGGCCUUGCCUGCUUUAGUUUGAAGGCCCUGGACC